GAUGAACGCUGGCGGCGUGCCUAAUACAUGCAAGUCGAGCGAACAGACGAGGAGCUUGCUCCUUCGACGUUAGCGGCGGACGGGUGAGUAACACGUAGGUAACCUACCUAUAAGACUGGGAUAAUUUCGGGAAACCGGAGCUAAUACCGGAUAAUAUUUCGAACCGCAUGGUUCGAUAGUGAAAGAUGGCUUUGCUAUCACUUAUAGAUGGACCUGCGCCGUAUUAGCUAGUUGGUAAGGUAACGGCUUACCAAGGCAACGAUACGUAGCCGACCUGAGAGGGUGAUCGGCCACACUGGAACUGAGACACGGUCCAGACUCCUACGGGAGGCAGCAGUAGGGAAUCUUCCGCAAUGGGCGAAAGCCUGACGGAGCAACGCCGCGUGAGUGAUGAAGGUCUUCGGAUCGUAAAACUCUGUUAUUAGGGAAGAACAAACGUGUAAGUAACUGUGCACGUCUUGACGGUACCUAAUCAGAAAGCCACGGCUAACUACGUG
rnacentral:rRNA from 1 species